GCCCACCUCAGCCUCCCAAAGUACUGGGAUUACAGGCAUGAGCCACUGCGCCCGGCCCUCAUGUUGAAAUUUAAUCCUCAAUGUGGCAGUAUUG
rnacentral:miRNA from 1 species